rnacentral:rRNA from 1 species
GUCUAUGGCCAUACCACCCUGAAUGCACCCGAUCUCGUCUGACCAUGGAAGUUAAGCAGGUUCAGACCUGGUUAGUAUUUGGAUGGGAAAAUACAUAUGACUAUCAAAC